rnacentral:rRNA from 1 species
GCUGUAGCAGCAGUGUGUCGGGAUCACAUGGGGACGUAUCUUGGAUCCUCGGCUAUGCUUUACCGAGGGGUAACUGACCCAACCAUGCUGGAAACAUACGCAUGCAGGGAAGCGUUGGCACUGGCGGAUGAUUUACUAGUGCAGAGUUUAAAGGUGCCGUCCGACUGCCUGGAAGUGGUGAAUGAUAUAAACAAGGGAACAGGAGGUUCUCAUGCGGCAGUAGUACAUGAAAUAAUGAACCAUAGUAGUAAUUUCAUUUUUUGCUCUUUUGUUCAUGGGCCAAGGUAUUAUAAUUUCGAGGCUCACAAUCUCACCAAGUUUGCUUGUAAUUUGAGUUUAGGUAAAGAUGUGUGGCUGGGCACUCCCCAUGAUCCACGACGUGUAUCUAUGAACAUUCUUGAUUAA